GAAAAGAAACCAACAGGGAUUGCCUUAGUAACGGCGAGUGAAGCGGCAAAAGCUCAAAUUUGAAAUCUGGCACCUUCGGUGUCCGAGUUGUAAUUUGAAGAAGGUAUCUUUGGUUUUGGCUCUUGUCUAUGUUCCUUGGAACAGGACGUCACAGAGGGUGAGAAUCCCGUGCGAUGAGAUGCCCAAUUCCAUGUAAAGUUCCUUCGACGAGUCGAGUUGUUUGGGAAUGCAGCUCUAAGUGGGUGGUAAAUUCCAUCUAAAGCUAAAUAUUGGCGAGAGACCGAUAGCGAACAAGUACAGUGAUGGAAAGAUGAAAAGAACUUUGAAAAGAGAGUGAAAAAGUACGUGAAAUUGUUGAAAGGGAAGGGCUUGAGAUCAGACUUGGCUUUGCCGGGCCAGCAUCGGUUUGGAUGGUAGGAUAAUGACAUUGGAAUGUGACAUGACUUCGGUUAUGUGUUAUAGCCUUUGUUGAUACUGCCUGUCUAGACCGAGGACUGCGUCUUUUGACUAGGAUGCUGGCAUAAUGAUCUUAAGCCGCCCG
rnacentral:rRNA from 1 species